rnacentral:rRNA from 1 species
GAUGAACGCUGGCGGCGUGCCUAAUACAUGCAAGUCGAGCGAACAGACGAGGAGCUUGCUCCUCUGACGUUAGCGGCGGACGGGUGAGUAACACGUGGAUAACCUCCCUAUAAGACUGGGAUAACUUCGGGAAACCGGAGCUAAUACCGGAUAAUAUAUUGAACCGCAUGGUUCAAUAGUGAAAGACGGUUUUGCUGUCACUUAUAGAUGGAUCCGCGCCGCAUUAGCUAGUUGGUAAGGUAAAGGCUUAUCAAGGCAACCAUGCGUAGCCGACCUGAGAGAGUGAUCGGCCACACGGGAACUGAGACACGGACCAGGCUCCUACGGGAGGGAGCAGUAGGGAAUCGGCCGCAAUAGGCGAAAGCCUUACGGAGCAACGCCGCGUGAGUGAUGAAGGUCUUCGGAUCGUAAAACUCUGUUAUGAGGGAAGAACAAAUGUGUAAGUAACUAUGCACGUCUUGACGGUACCUAAUCAGAAAGCCACGGCUAACUACGUG